GCGGGACGGCCCUGGUUACUCACGGGAAAGCACAAAGGAUGGCGGCAGCUCAGUCGGAAGGUUCGAACAACUAAAAGCAACCAAAGCCGUGGUACUCACCGUGGACGACCGCGUGUGUUUCCGCAUGCGCGAGGGGAAAAUGGGC
rnacentral:sRNA from 13 species